rnacentral:rRNA from 1 species
AGUGAACGCUGGCGGUAGGCCUAACACAUGCAAGUCGAACGGCAGCACAGUAAGAGCUUGCUCUUACGGGUGGCGAGUGGCGGACGGGUGAGGAAUACAUCGGAAUCUACUUUUUCGUGGGGGAUAACGUAGGGAAACUUACGCUAAUACCGCAUACGACCUACGGGUGAAAGCAGGGGAUCUUCGGACCUUGCGCGAAUGAAUGAGCCGAUGUCGGAUUAGCUAGUUGGCGGGGUAAAGGCCCACCAAGGCGACGAUCCGUAGCUGGUCUGAGAGGAUGAUCAGCCACACUGGAACUGAGACACGGUCCAGACUCCUACGGGAGGCAGCAGUGGGGAAUAUUGGACAAUGGGCGCAAGCCUGAUCCAGCCAUACCGCGUGGGUGAAGAAGGCCUUCGGGUUGUAAAGCCCUUUUGUUGGGAAAGAACAGCAGCAGGUUAAUACCCCGCUGUUCUGACGGUACCCAAAGAAUAAGCACCGGCUAACUUCGUG